AGCUUUGCACAGUGGUAGUAUCAUAGGCAAUGGGGUUUAUCCGAGGCAUGAUUAUUGCUAAUUAAGUAUGAUUAAACAUAAAAGGGAAGGGUUUGAAUUUUAGCAGUGUCUAAGUCACUUAAAGCUAUUCUUCAAAAGAC
ensembl:snRNA U4 U4 spliceosomal RNA